AUUGAACGCUGGCGGCAGGCCUAACACAUGCAAGUCGAGCGAGCGGCGGACGGGUGAGUAAUGUAUGGGGAUCUGCCCGAUAGCGGGGGAUAACUACUGGACACGGUAGCUAAUACCGCAUACUAUCGGAUGAACCCAUAGGGGAUUAGCUUGUAUGUGGGGUAACGGCUCACCAAGGCGAAGCUCGCUAGCUGGUCUGAGAGGAUGAUCAGCAGAACUGGGACGGAGACACGGCCCAGACUCCGAGGGGAGGCAGCGUUGGGGAAUAUUGCAAAAUGGGCGCAAGCCUGAUGCAGCCAUGCCGCGUGGAUGAAGAAGGCAUUAGGGUUGGAAAGUACUUUCAGCUGGGAGGCGUUACCCGCAGAAGAAGGACCGGCUAACUCCGUGCCAGCAGCCGCGGUAAUAC
rnacentral:rRNA from 1 species